rnacentral:tRNA from 1 species
GCCCCAGUAGCUUAGCCCGGUCAGAUCGCCUCCUUGGUAAAUAGGAGCGCGAAUUCAAAUCUCGCCUGGGGCUCCA